UACGUAGGGUGCAAGCGUUGUCCGGAAUUAUUGGGCGUAAAGAGCUCGUAGGCGGUUUGUCGCGUCGAAUGUGAAAACCCGGGGCUCAACCCCGGGCCUGCAUUCGAUACGGGCAGACUAGAGUUCGGUAGGGGAGUCUGGAAUUCCUGGUGUAGCGGUGAAAUGCGCAGAUAUCAGGAGGAACACCGGUGGCGAAGGCGGGACUCUGGGCCGGUACUGACGCCGAGGAGCGAAAGCGUGGGGAGCAAACAGG
rnacentral:rRNA from 1 species